rnacentral:rRNA from 1 species
UACGUGGGGUGCGAGCGUUAAUCGGAAUUACUGGGCGUAAAGCGUGCGCAGGCGGCUUUGCAAGACAGAUGUGAAAUCCCCGGGCUCAACCUGGGAACUGCAUUUGUGACUGCAAGGCUAGAGUACGGCAGAGGGGGAUGGAAUUCCGCGUGUAGCAGUGAAAUGCGUAGAUAUGCGGAGGAACACCGAUGGCGAAGGCAAUCCCCUGGACCUGUACUGACGCUCAUGCACGAAAGCGUGGGGAGCAAACAGG